rnacentral:rRNA from 1 species
UGGGGAAUAUUGGACAAUGGGGGGAACCCUGAUCCAGCCAUGCCGCGUGUGUGAAGAAGGCCUUAUGGUUGUAAAGCACUUUAAGCGAGGAGGAGGGUACUGGUAUUAAUACUACCAGGUACUGGACGUUACUCGCAGAAUAAGCACCGGCUAACUCUGUGCCAGCAGCCGCGGUAAUACAGAGGGUGCGAGCGUUAAUCGGAUUUACUGGGCGUAAAGCGUGCGUAGGCGGCUAAUUGAGUCGGAUGUGAAAUCCCCGAGCUUAACUUGGGAAUUGCAUUCGAUACUGGUUAGCUAGAGUGUGGGAGAGGAUGGUAGAAUUCCAGGUGUAGCGGUGAAAUGCGUAGAAAUCUGGAGGAAUACCGAUGGCGAAGGCAGCCAUCUGGCCUAACACUGACGAUGAGGUACGAAAGCAUGGGGAGCAAACAGG